rnacentral:pre_miRNA from 1 species
AUAAAGAUCACUUCAGGAUCUUGUUAAAAUGCAGAUUGUGACUCAGUAGGUCUAGGGUGGGGUUUCAGAGUCUGUAUUUCUAAUAAGCUCUGAAGUGAUGACUAU